AAAUAACCUACUCCUCCUGCCUACUGUUUCCACCCCUCUGCUGUGGCCAACAUGAAACAUCCACUAAAGGAAGGUCUAAUAGUUAUUAAAGUACAGGAUUUCUGGGGUCUGUUCUGAUUUAAUUGCUGUUGUGCUGUGCAAUUCCCUACUUCCUUCCUUGACAAGCCCUUUCCUUCCUUAUGCAGACCCCAGGAGCCAAGUAACUGGUGCAAGACAGAUGGAAGAAGCCACGUUGACAACCACAUAUGGAAAUCAUCUGGAGACAUCUUGAACAAUUCCCUUGGGAACAUGAAGCUUGCCCUUUUCACCACGAGACAACUGCAAAAUCUAGAGGAGCCCCGCAGUGUAGGUCCCUACAUCAUGCAUUGAGGCCUGUUGUAUCUGCAGCUGAGCUUGAGGAAUGGCACUCAGCAUAGAAGAGACAGUCUGCCCCAGAAAAGCUUUUAGAUGAGUCUACUGCAUGGAGAAAUGCACACUAGCAGAUCUGCCCACAGCACACAGCAAAAUUUGCGCCAUGCCAGUGGGAGCUUUGGUUGCAAGCAAGAACAAAAGAUUCU